rnacentral:tRNA from 1 species
GCCGUGGUAGUUUAGAGGUUAGAAUAUUGUGUUGUGGCCACAAAGAUUCCAGUUCAAUUCUGGAUUACGGCA